rnacentral:rRNA from 1 species
AUUGAACGCUGGCGGCAUGCUUUACACAUGCAAGUCGAACGGCAGCGCGGGCUUCGGCCUGGCGGCGAGUGGCGAACGGGUGAGUAAUGCAUCGGAACGUGCCCAGUAGUGGGGGAUAGCCCGGCGAAAGCCGGAUUAAUACCGCAUACGACCUGAGGGUGAAAGCGGGGGACCGAAAGGCCUCGCGCUAUUGGAGCGGCCGAUGUCGGAUUAGCUAGUUGGUGGGGUAAAGGCUUACCAAGGCGACGAUCCGUAGCUGGUCUGAGAGGACGACCAGCCACACUGGGACUGAGACACGGCCCAGACUCCUACGGGAGGCAGCAGUGGGGAUUUUGGACAAUGGGGGCAACCCUGAUCCAGCCAUGCCGCGUGCGGGAAGAAGGCCUUCGGGUUGUAAACCGCUUUUGUUCGGGAAGAAAUCCUCUGGGCUAAUACCCCGGGGGGAUGACGGGACCGGAAGAAUAAACACCGGCUAACUACGU